rnacentral:misc_RNA from 1 species
AAGUCGUAACAAGGUUUCCGUAGGUGAACCUGCGGAAGGAUCAUUACUGAAUUAAUUGAUUGUGCUGGCUUUGCAAGUGCACGUCUUAAUCCACUUUACCCCUGUGAACAUUAGACUUGACUCUUGGAAACAAGAGGAGAGUAUUUUAUUACACUCUUUUAGAAUGUAUGUGAUUAUUGUAUUUGUGCUUUGCACUAUUAAUAACAACUUUCAACAACGGAUCUCUUGGCUCUC